GAGUCUCUAUUUCAACUUACUAUUUCCCAAUCAUUGACUGACUGACUGGAGAGAAAGUAAGCAGCCUAGGGCAUGCCAAGGAUAUGCCUAAUAUUUUAAUUUACUCGAUAUUUUUUUAAUAACUACAGCUACAAAUCAAAGUCAAAUCUGGACUUAUUAAACAACUAAUGAAUAGUCAAAAUGCAAUUUAUAUUACAAAACCUAACAUUUUCUCCAUCAGUUGAUACUGCUUUUAUCCCAUUAACAAUUAUUAGAGGUAGAGUAUGACCAACCAGUAGCUCAUGUCAGGCUGUCUUACAGCAAUAAAAGAGUCAGCUAUUAGGGACACCUGGGUGGCUCAGUUGGUCGAGCAUCCGACUUCAGCUCAGGUCAUGAUCUCAAGGUUUUGGGGUUUGAGCCCCGCAUCGGGCUCUCCGCUGUCGGCAUGGGAGAGACCAGCUUGGGAUCUUCUGUCCCCCUCUCUCUGCCCCUCCACACGCGCUCUCUCUCUCUCACAAAUAAACAUUUUUUUAAAAACCUACAGAAAUUUUUUAAAGACUCAGAUAAUAGUUAAAAUGAUCACCUUUGAAAUGAACCCACAGAAAGUGUCUCCACAACCAUUUGUAACCCCUCAAAAUGAAACCGUUUUAUUAGCAUUUCUUGUAGUAUUCACAAGACAUUUUCUACCUAGCAAGCGGGGGGGGGGGGGGGGGGGGAAAAAAAAAACUGAUGUUCAAAAUGUGUUUUUAUUUUGAAGACUAUUCUUAAGUACUAUAAAUGCACCAGAAAAGCUUAGGAAGUUAGCAAUUUACAAAGCCCUCAACACAUCUUUCACAUAAGAUUUCCAUCAUCAUGAAGAUAUAUGAUAACUGAAAAUAUAUUUGUUAAGUAUCCACGUAAUUUAAUAAUGAACAGCAAAUGGAGAUGAAUGGACAAACAGGAAAAUAGGGAUUUUAACAAGAAAUGUUAUCACCGACUAAACUAAAUAUAUUUCAACGGUUCCCAAAAUACCCAAUCCAAGCACAUAUUUUUGAAAUGUGUGGGUUUUCCCCAAGAGAAGCAGAACUCUGACAUUUUCUCUUGGAUAUAUGAGACUUUCAGACCUCCAUUCCACAUCUGGAAAGAACACUUCACACUCAGCUUGAUACAACUUUUAAAAAGCAAACUGAGGGCCAUUAGAUACUUAGUGAUGAAAACCUGACUAUGCCGGUCAACAGAAUGUCAGAAAUGAACGGAAAGAAGCAGUCAAAGUUCAUUAUCCUCCUCGAUGUGAAGAAAGGAACAUGGGACAAAAGACACAUUUGCCUCUUCUGCCCUUUAAUUUGUCAACACCAUACUUCUCUCCAUAUGCCAUGCCAAGGAACAGAAAAUGAGGAUAUUUUUUAAAGGCUGCUAGUAUGAAAUAGGACCAUUUCAUCUAGACCAGGCCUCUCCACUCCCUAAAAGAUGUUUUUAUUAAAAACAAAAACCAAAAGAAUAGAUCCAAGUACCCUAUAGACGACACCUGGAUUACUCUGCCCCCCAGGCCAAGGGAAAUGUUGACGAUUCCACGAUCCCUUCGGAAGCCUGUAUCUGCAAUGCGUAAGCUUUUCGCUGGCAAGAUCGGUCAAUAUCAGAAAGCGCGUACUGUUUAAAAGGUUAAGUGCAUGAAGGUGAAAACAACGACGACCCAUCCACUAGGAAAUAUAUAUAUAUUUUUUUUUUCCAAGUUAACCAUAACAUAAUUUCGGCCCUGAGGAACCAGAGAGAGGUUUCCGCCGAGGACCUGCGAAGCCCCCUCACGAUCUAAAUGACCGUCAGGAAAAGAGCCCGCACCAAGGUGCCGGGAGCGGAGGAGACGCGGCUUUCCAAACGCGGCUGGUGAGCCGGGGACCGUAAACCUCGAUCACAAUUUCACCCUUGGAUACAACGCGGGAGGGGAGCGAAGCGACAAGUUUCAGCCUCGGUCCGUCUGCAGACGGACCCGAUUUAAAGGACCCCGGGGAGGAGGCGGAAAGGGGCGAGGAUGCGGCGUCCGCGGCGCAGCGGCAGAGCCGGGAUCCCGGACGGGGAUGCGGAGGAGUGGGCUUAUGUGAGGACUCAGACUGAAAGGCAAAGUGAUGUCCCCGAAGGCAGGACAACUCCAGUGAAAGAACAGCCAGCCCUCAAGGACAGGGCGGUGACUUCAGGGAGACUGGGGACAGCAGAAGUUAAGUAACAGUAAAAUGGGAAUUCGUCAGGACUGUGCAGGAGAGCUCUAGAAGGCGAUUCCAACACCGUGGUUGUCGCUGCCUUGGUAGCUGGAGCGCCUGGGCGGCUGGUGGGCUUUGUGGAGGCCAGCGCGGGGUGGGGGGCCAGGACGCGGGCCCCCUCGGAGGCCGGGAGAAGCAGGAGAGUGGAGGACUUAUUUAGGAGCACAGUGGGUGAAGUAGAUUCAGGCCAAACCGCGAGGCGCCCGAAGUGUCCCGCCGAUCCUACAGGCCACGGGAAGACCCCGCGCAGCCGUGAGCGGUGGCGUGGUGUGACCGGAGGAGGGUUGGAAAGCAAUCUGCAAUGGAAUACACUCUUCCCUGUCCUUCGUCCGUCAAGAGCAUCCUGCACCGAGGCCUCCAAAUUCCAUCUCUCCUUCCCCUGCCCCCCCCUUCCCUGGGUCCAGGAGGACUAGACUCCCCUUGGGUGGACCCCUUCCGCCGGGCGUGCCUGGCCCCUACGUCUCCAGGCCUCAACUCUUCACUCCUCCCAGCCAGCACUGCAGUGUCAUCCUCUGCAGGCAUCGCUUCCAAGGAUCUGGUUCCUGCUGGCUCCUUGUUACCACCUUAUCUGGUCCAGAUGGCUCUUGCCAGGCUUCCCACGCCUCCACCUCAGGCCCCACCUAGCUGACCUCAGGGCCAUGCUGUCUCAACGCUGUCUGUGCUCAAGUUCAUUCCUGCCCAGGACCUGCUUUAUGUAGCAUGCCCACCGCCCAGCCCCCAACCUCUGCCCUAAGUCCCACCUGGGCUGUCUCCUGCAGGAAGUCCUCCUGACCAUCAGGCCAUUCCCUCCCCCUUCCGCACCUGCUCUGACCCAGGCAGUCUGGAAUCCAUAAUCUGCGACUUCACGCCGUUGACCCAUGUGUAUCCUUUUCUUCCCCCCGCUGGGUUCUAGUGGAAAGGACCCAGAUGGUACCGUCAGAUAGCACUGGACAGACACUCCGGCUGCCUCUACUACGAAUGAUCUUGACAAGAUACAGAAUUUUGAGUCUCUUUCCUCGCCUGUGAAAUGGGAUAGCAAUACCCAUUUCCCGGAGUGGUCAGAAUCAAACAAGAUGAUGCAACUAAGGUGCAUCACAGAGCCUUGCACACAAGAGGUCUAAACACACAGGAACUUCUCUUUUUCCCUCAGGCAACUUCUGAGCUGCAUGUAUACAGCUGAACAUACAGGAGGCACUCAAUAAAUACUCAGUGAUGCA